UACGAAGGUGGCAAGCGUUACUCGGAAUUACUAGGCGUAAAGGGCAGGUAGGUGGUUUGGUUAGUCUAUUGUGAAAGCUCCCGGCUUAACUGGGAGAGGUCAAUGGAUACUGCCAGACUUGAGUAUAGGAGAGGUUACUGGAAUUCCCGGUGUAGCGGUGAAAUGCGCAGAGAUCGGGAGGAACACCAAUGGCGAAAGCAGGUAACUGGACUAUUACUGACACUCAGCUGCGAAAGCUAGGGGAGCAAACAGG
rnacentral:rRNA from 1 species